rnacentral:rRNA from 1 species
AUGAACGCUGGCGGCGUGCCUAAUACAUGCAAGUCGCGCGAACGGACGAGAAGCUUGCUUCUCUGAUGUUAGCGGCGGACGGGUGAGUAACACGUGGAUAACCUACCUAUAAGACUGGGAUAACUUCGGGAAACCGGAGCUAAUACCGGAUAAUAUUUUGAACCGCAUGGUUCAAAAGUGAAAGACGGUCUUGCUGUCACUUAUAGAUGGAUCCGCGCUGCAUUAGCUAGUUGGUAAGGUAACGGCUUACCAAGGCAACGAUGCAUAGCCGACCUGAGAGGGUGAUCGGCCACACUGGAACUGAGACACGGUCCAGACUCCUACGGGAGGCAGCAGUAGGGAAUCUUCCGCAAUGGGCGAAAGCCUGACGGAGCAACGCCGCGUGAGUGAUGAAGGUCUUCGGAUCGUAAAACUCUGUUAUUAGGGAAGAAUAUAUGUGUAAGUAACUGUGCACAUCUUGACGGUACCUAAUCAGAAAGCCACGGCUAACUACGUG